GCCUACGGGGGGCAGCAGUGAGGAAUAUUGGUCAAUGGGAGAGAUCCUGAACCAGCCAAGCCGCGUGAGGGAAGACGGCCCUAUGGGUUGUAAACCUCUUUUGUCGGAGAACAAAACCCGGGACGUGUCCCGGACUGCGUGUAUCCGAAGAAAAAGCAUCGGCUAACUCCGUGCCAGCAGCCGCGGUAAUACGGAGGAUGCGAGCGUUAUCCGGAUUUAUUGGGUUUAAAGGGUGCGCAGGCGGCGAGUUAAGUCAGCGGUAAAAUUUCGGGGCUCAACCCCGACGAGCCGUUGAAACUGGCUUG
rnacentral:rRNA from 1 species